rnacentral:rRNA from 1 species
UACAGAGGUGGCAAGCGUUGUUCAGAAUUACUGGGCGUAAAGGGCGCGUAGGCGGUCUUCUAAGUCUUGUGUGAAAUCCCUCGGCUCAACUGAGGAACUGCACGGGAUACUGGAAGACUUGAGUUCGGGAGAGGGAAGCGGAAUUCCGGGUGUAGCGGUGAAAUGCGUAGAUAUCCGGAGGAACACCGGUGGCGAAGGCGGCUUCCUGGACCGAUUACUGACGCUGAGGCGCGAAAGCUAGGGGAGCAAACGGG